rnacentral:tRNA from 1 species
GCCGACGUGGUGAAAUUGGUAUACACGCUAGCUUCAGGUGCUAGUUCUCGCAAGGGAGUGAGAGUUCAAGUCUCUCCGUCGGCACCA